UGGAAACAACACAAUCAGUUCUCAAAGGAAAUCAUGUUCCUCUUUCUUGAUAGUUGAAUUUGCUGCAAAGCGUUCAGGAAGAUUUGCUUUGUCUUUUCCGUUUUCAGGACUUUAAAUAGAGGUGGUAAAGAUAAUGUUCCAGGAUUCAUUAAAUUAUUGACAAUGCACCAAACGCCCUUGGAUCUGAGGCGUUGGUUAAUUAUUGAUUGUCGAACAGACGCACUCAAAUUUUCCUUGGCUUCAGUAAGAACUUUCUGGAAUUUAUUUCUAGCAUUCCGGAAAGGUUGUCUGUUCUGCGGUGUAUUGCAACGAUGAAAACGUUUAAAGUGAUAACUACGAUGAUAAAUUACAGCAGCAACACUGGCACAAGACGUGUGUUUAAUCCAGUAUGGUGAAGAUGGUUAGCCUUUUCUUUUUUAUUAUUUUGACAAUACCAAUGCGUAUAACUGCCGUG